GACGAACGCUGGCGGCGUGCUUAACACAUGCAAGUCGAACGAAGCGGCGAACGGGUGAGUAACGCGUAAUCAACCUGCCCUUCAGAGGGGGACAACAGUUGGAAACGACUGCUAAUACCGCAUACUGAAGGAGGGGACUGCGUCUGCUUAGGUGGUUGGAGGGGUAACGGCCCACCAAGGCGAUGUUCAGUCGCCGGUCUGAGGGGAUGGACGGCCAGAUUGGGAGUGAGGCAGGGCCCAGACUCCUACGGGAGGCAGCGCUGGGGAAUCUUCCGCAAUGGAGGAAAGUCUGACGGCGAAACGCCGAGUGAGUGAUGACGGCCUUCGGGUUGGAAAGCUAUGUUAAUCGGGACGCGGUACCGGAAUAGAAAGCCACGGCUAACUACGUGCCAGCAGCCGCGGUAAUUC
rnacentral:rRNA from 1 species